AGUGAACGCUGGCGGUAGGCCUAACACAUGCAAGUCGAACGGCAGCACAGUAAGAGCUUGCUCUUACGGGUGGCGAGUGGCGGACGGGUGAGGAAUACAUCGGAAUCUACUUUUUCGUGGGGGAUAACGUAGGGAAACUUACGCUAAUACCGCAUACGACCUACGGGUGAAAGCAGUGGAUCUUCGGACCUUGCGCGAUUGAAUGAGCCGAUGUCGGAUUAGCUAGUUGGCGGGGUAAAGGCCCACCAAGGCGACGAUCCGUAGCUGGUCUGAGAGGAUGAUCAGCCACACUGGAACUGAGACACGGUCCAGACUCCUACGGGAGGCAGCAGUGGGGAAUAUUGGACAAUGGGCGCAAGCCUGAUCCAGCAAUACCGCGUGGGUGAAGAAGGCCUUCGGGUUGUAAAGACCUUUUGUUGGGAAAGAAAAGCAGCAGGUUAAUACCCCGCUGUUCUGACGGUACCCAAAGAAUAAGCACCGGCUAACUUCGUG
rnacentral:rRNA from 1 species